UGGGGCGCUGAAUUGAGAAGAGAGAAGAGAAGAGAGAAAACCUAACUCUCUUUGAUCUUCAAACCACCAUAACUUGAGCUACGGAGCUCCGAUUGACGAGCCGUUUGCGGCCACGCGUCGCUCUUCUCAUCCUCUACAAUUCUAUCUAAGUUUUGUGGGAUACUCCAACAUGGAUUCUAAGUGGGUUCUAUCCCUACUUCAUAUGGGCUGCGAUUGGUGUUGCUUGAGGAGCUUUGGUGAGGCUUGGAGCUAAGGUUGGUGGAGACUUCUAAAGAAGAGACUCAAUUAAUUUGGCUACAAGAGAUACAGGUUCAGGUGCUCAGAAGUGAGCUGCGGUUCGUCUGAGAAACGGCGAAGAUAUUUAUUUUCUCUACUUUGUGUUUUCCUUAGAAUCUCUCCA